ACCCGCUGAGUUUAAGCAUAU
rnacentral:snRNA from 1 species